rnacentral:rRNA from 1 species
UACGUAGGGUCCGAGCGUUGUCCGGAAUUACUGGGCGUAAAGAGCUCGUAGGUGGUUUGUCGCGUUGUUCGUGAAAACUCACAACUCAAUUGUGGGCGUGCGGGCGAUACGGGCAGACUGGAGUACUGCAGGGGAGACUGGAAUUCCUAGUGUAGCGGUGGAAUGCGCAGAUAUCAGGAGGAACACCGGUGGCGAAGGCGGGUCUCUGGGCAGUAACUGACGCUGAGGAGCGAAAGCGUGGGGAGCGAACAGG